rnacentral:rRNA from 1 species
UGCAAGUCGAACGGCAGCACGAGAGAGCUUGCUCUCUUGGUGGCGAGUGGCGGACGGGUGAGUAAUAUAUCGGAACGUGCCUAGUAGCGGGGGAUAACUACUCGAAAGAGUGGCUAAUACCGCAUACGCCCUACGGGGGAAAGGGGGGGAUCGCAAGACCUCUCACUAUUAGAGCGGCCGAUAUCGGAUUAGCUAGUUGGUGGGGUAAAGGCUCACCAAGGCAACGAUCCGUAGCUGGUUUGAGAGGACGACCAGCCACACUGGGACUGAGACACGGCCCAGACUCCUACGGGAGGCAGCAGUGGGGAAUUUUGGACAAUGGGGGAAACCCUGAUCCAGCCAUCCCGCGUGUAUGAUGAAGGCCUUCGGGUUGUAAAGUACUUUUGGCAGAGAAGAAAAGGUACCUCCUAAUACGAGGUACUGCUGACGGUAUCUGCAGAAUAAGCACCGGCUAACUACGUGCCAGCAGCCGCGGUAAUACGUAGGGUGCAAGCGUUAAUCGGAAUUACUGGGCGUAAAGCGUGUGUAGGCGGUUCGGAAAGAAAGAUGUGAAAUCCCAGGGCUUAACCUUGGAACUGCAUUUUUAACUGCCGAGCUAGAGUAUGUCAGAGGGGGGUAGAAUUCCACGUGUAGCAGUGAAAUGCGUAGAUAUGUGGAGGAAUACCGAUGGCGAAGGCAGCCCCCUGGGAUAAUACUGACGCUCAGACACGAAAGCGUGGGGAGCAAACAGGAUUAGAUACCCUGGUAGUCCACGCCCUAAACGAUGUCAACUAGCUGUUGGGGCCGUUAGGCCUUAGUAGCGCAGCUAACGCGUGAAGUUGACCGCCUGGGGAGUACGGUCGCAAGAUUAAAACUCAAAGGUAAUUGACGGGGACCCGCACAAGCGGUGGAUGAAGUGGGAUUUAAUUCAAUGCAACGCGAAAAACCUUACCUACCCUUGACAUGUCUGGAAUCCCGAAAAAAUUUGGGAGUGCUCGCAAGAGAACCGGAACACAGGUGCUUGCAUGGCUGUCGUCAGCUCGUGUCGGGAAAUGUUGGGUUAAGUCCCGCAACGAGCGCAACCCUUGUCAUUAGUUGCUACGCAAGAGCACUCUAAUGAGACUGCCGGUGACAAACCGGAGGAAGGUGGGGAUGACGUCAAGUCCUCAUGGCCCUUAUGGGUAGGGCUUCACACGUCAUACAAUGGUCGGGACAGAGGGUCGCCAACCCGCGAGGGGGAGCCAAUCUCAGAAACCCGAUCGUAGUCCGGAUCGCAGUCUGCAACUCGACUGCGUGAAGUCGGAAUCGCUAGUAAUCGCGGAUCAGAAUGUCGCGGUGAAUACGUUCCCGGGUCUUGUACACACCGCCCGUCACACCAUGGGAGUGGGUUUCACCAGAAGUAGGUAGCCUAACCGUAAGGAGGGCGCUUACCA